rnacentral:rRNA from 1 species
UGAGGAAUAUUGGUCAAUGGACGAGAGUCUGAACCAGCCAAGUAGCGUGAAGGAUGACUGCCCUAUGGGUUGUAAACUUCUUUUAUAAGGGAAUAAAGUGAGGGACGUGUCCCUUUUUGUAUGUACCUUAUGAAUAAGGAUCGGCUAACUCCGUGCCAGCAGCCGCGGUAAUACGGAGGAUCCAAGCGUUAUCCGGAUUUAUUGGGUUUAAGGGAGCGUAGGUUGACAUAUAAGUCAGCUGUGAAAGUUUACGGCUCAACCGUGAAAUUGCAGUUGAUACUGUAUGUCUUGAGUGUACAAGAGGUGGGCGGAAUUCGUGGUGUAGCGGUGAAAUGCUUAGAUAUCACGAAGAACUCCAAUUGCGAAGGCAGCUCACUGGGGUACAACUGACACUGAGGCUCGAAAGUGUGGGUAUCAAACAG